UUGUUUACUGCCCACUUGGGCAACACAUAUACUAAAACUGCACUGAUACAGAGAGCAUUAGCAUGACCCCUGUGAAAUGAUGGCAUACAAAUUCAUGAAACAUUUCAAAUUUUU
rnacentral:snRNA from 10 species